GAACGAGACCCCUGCCUGCUAAAUAAUCCGCCGAAUGCUUUUUGCAUUGGGUAGGGUUUCUUAGAGGGACGUCCAAGAUCAACUUGGAGGAGGAUAGGGGCAAUAACAGGUCUGUGAUGCCCUUAGAUGUCCUGGGCCGCACGCGCGCUACACUGAUGCAUUCAACGAGUUUAUAACCUUGGCCGAGAGGCCUGGGCAAUCUUUUGAAUGUGCAUCGUGAUAGGGAUAGAUUAUUGCAAUUAUUAAUCUUGAACGAGGAAUUCCUAGUAAACGCAGAUCAUCAAUCUGCAUUGAUUACGUCCCUGCCCUUUGUACACACCGCCCGUCGCACCUACCGAUUG
rnacentral:rRNA from 1 species